GUAGGUGAACCUGCGGAAGGAUCAUCAGCAAAUCUAUACUGAAUAGCGGUUUCGACCGACUAUUCUUUAACCAAUGUGAAUUGGGAGGGCAACCUCUCGAAUAUAUACUAGACCAGAGUCUGAUAAAAAAAAUUAAUAUAAACAACUUUUAACAAUGGAUCUCUUGGCUCUUGCAUCGAUGAAGAACGCAGCAUCUGACUGACUGGAAGCUUG
rnacentral:misc_RNA from 1 species